AACGAACGCUGGCGGCAUGCCUAACACAUGCAAGUCGAACGAGAUCUUCGGAUCUAGUGGCGCACGGGUGCGUAACACGUGGGAAUCUGCCCUUGGGUUCGGAAUAACUCUCCGAAAGGAGUGCUAAUACCGGAUGAUGUCGGGAGACCAAAGAUUUAUCGCCCAGGGAUGAGCCCGCGUAGGAUUAGCUAGUUGGUGGGGUAAAGGCCCACCAAGGCGACGAUCCUUAGCUGGUCUGAGAGGAUGAUCAGCCACACUGGGACUGAGACACGGCCCAGACUCCUACGGGAGGCAGCAGUGGGGAAUAUUGGACAAUGGGCGAAAGCCUGAUCCAGCAAUGCCGCGUGAGUGAUGAAGGCCUUAGGGUUGUAAAGCUCUUUUACCCGGGAUGAUAAUGACAGUACCGGGAGAAUAAGCCCCGGCUAACUCCGUGCCAGCCGCCGCAGUAAAAC
rnacentral:rRNA from 1 species